rnacentral:rRNA from 1 species
CUUCGGCCUGGGGCAAAGCCGCGAACGGGUGAGUAACACGUGGGUAACCUACCCCGAAGACCGGGACAACCCGAGGAAACUCGAGCUAAUACCGGAUGUGGUCACCGUCCACAAGGACGAUGAGCAAAGGAAGCUUCGGCCUCCGCUUCGGGAGGGGCCCGCGGCCCAUUAGCUUGUUGGUGAGGUAACGGCUCACCAAGGCUGCGAUGGGUAGCUGGUCUGAGAGGACGAUCAGCCACACUGGGACUGAGACACGGCCCAGACUCCUACGGGAGGCAGCAGUGGGGAAUCUUGCGCAAUGCGCGAAAGCGUGACGCAGCAACGCCGCGUGGGGGAAGAAGGCCUUCGGGUCGUAAACCCCUUUCAGGAGGGACGAAGCCUUGGGAGUGAAUAGCUUUCCGAGGUGACGGUACCUCAAUAAGAAGCCCCGGCUAACUACGUGCCAGCAGCCGCGGUAAUACGUAGGGGGCUAGCGUUGUCCGGAAUCAUUGGGCGUAAAGCGCGCGUAGGCGGUCAGGUAAGUCCGGUGUGAAAGUCAAAGGCUCAACCUUUGAAUGCCGCUGGAUACUGCUUGACUUGAGUCCGGAAGGGGCGAGUGGAAUUCCUGGUGUAGCGGUGAAAUGCGCAGAUAUCAGGAGGAACACCAAUGGCGAAGGCAGCUCGCUGGAACGGUACUGACGCUGAGGCGCGAAAGCGUGGGGAGCGAACAGGAUUAGAUACCCUGGUAGUCCACGCCGUAAACGAUGGGCACUAGGUGUGGGAAGGUGUCGACUCCUCCUGUGCCGAAGCUAACGCAUUAAGUG